rnacentral:rRNA from 1 species
GGUCAAGUAAUGAAGUGCACAUGGUGGAUGCCUUGGCAGUCAGAGGCGAUGAAAGACGUGAUAGCCUGCGAUAAGCGUCGGUGAGGUGGCAAUAUCCUGUGACCCGGCGAUUUCUGAAUGGGGAAACCCAGCCAACAUAAGUUGGCUAUCCUAACCUUUGGUUAGGAGGCGAACCGGGAGAAGUGAAACAUCUCAGUACCCCGAGGAAAAGACAUCAAUAGAGAUUCCCCAAGUAGCGGCGAGCGAACGGGGAGUAGCCGAUCAAACUUGUAGUAGCAAAAUGGCGUGGGAAAGCCAACCAUAGUAGGUGAUAGUCCUGUAUGCGAAACUGCAAAUGCGACAUAUUAAGUAGGGCGAGACACGUGAAAUCUUGUCUGAAGAUGGGGGGACCAUCCUCCAAGGCUAAAUACUCCUGACUGACCGAUAGUGAACCAGUACCGUGAGGGAAAGGCGAAAAGAACCCCUGUUAGGGGAGUGAAAUAGAACCUGAAACCGUGUGCAUACAAGCAGUCGGAGCCCACUUGUUGGGUGACGGCGUACCUUUUGUAUAAUGGGUCAGCGACUUAUAUUCUGUAGCAAGGUUAACCGUUUAGGGGAGCCGUAGGGAAACCGAGUCUUAAUAGGGCGAAUUAAGUUGCAGGGUAUAGACCCGAAACCGAGUGAUCUAUCCAUGAGCAGGUUGAAAGUGCCGUAACAGGCACCGGAGGACCGAACCCACUGUCGUUGAAAAGCCAGGGGAUGACUUGUGGAUAGGGGUGAAAGGCUAAUCAAACUCGGUGAUAGCUGGUUCUCCCCGAAAGCUAUUUAGGUAGCGCCUCGGACGAACACCAUUGGGGGUAGAGCACUGUUUCGGCUAGGGGGUCAUCCCGACUUACCAAACCGAUGCAAACUCCGAAUACCGAUGAGUGAUAUCCGGGAGACAGACGGCGGGUGCUAACGUCCGUCGUCAAGAGGGAAACAACCCAGACCGCCAGCUAAGGCCCCAAAUUCCUAGUUAAGUGGGAAACGAUGUGGGAAGGCACAGACAGCUAGGAUGUUGGCUUAGAAGCAGCCAUCAUUUAAAGAAAGCGUAAUAGCUCACUAGUCGAGUCGGCCUGCGCGGAAGAUGUAACGGGGCUCAAACUAGGAGCCGAAGCUGCGGAUUUAAUUGUUUCAAUUAAGUGGUAGGGGAGCGUUGUGUAAGCCUGUGAAGGUGUAUCGUAAGGUAUGCUGGAGGUAUCACAAGAGCGAAUGCUGACGUGAGUAACGACAAAACGGGUGAAAAGCCCGUUCGCCGGAAGACCAAGGGUUCCAGUCCAACGUUAAUCGGGGCUGGGUGAGUCGACCCCUAAGGCGAGGCCGAAAGGCGUAGUCGAUGGGAAAUCGGUUAAUAUUCCGAUACUUGUUUAUGAUGCGAUGGAGGGACGGAGAAGGUUAUGUCAGCCUGGCGUUGGUUGUCCAGGUGGAAGGAUGUAGGUAGGUUUAGUAGGCAAAUCCGCUAGACUAUUACUGAGAUCUGAUAGCAAGCCAGUUUACUGGCGAAGUGGCAAAUACCCUGCUUCCAGGAAAAGCUUCUAAGCGAUAGUCAUAAACAAAUCGUACCCGAAACCGACACAGGUGGUCAGGUAGAGAAUACCAAGGCGCUUGAGAGAACUCUGCUGAAGGAACUAGGCAAAAUGGUACCGUAACUUCGGGAGAAGGUACGCUGCCGAUGGUGAUAAGACUUGCUCUUUGAGCUGUUGGCAGUCGCAGAUACCAGGCUGCUGCAACUGUUUAUUAAAAACACAGCACUCUGCAAACACGAAAGUGGACGUAUAGGGUGUGAUGCCUGCCCGGUGCUGGAAGGUUAAUUGAUGGGGUUAGCGUAUGCGAAGCUCUUGAUCGAAGCCCCAGUAAACGGCGGCCGUAACUAUAACGGUCCUAAGGUAGCGAAAUUCCUUGUCGGGUAAGUUCCGACCUGCACGAAUGGCAUAAUGAUGGCAGCGCUGUCUCCAGCAGAGACUCAGUGAAAUCGAAAUCGCAGUGAAGAUGCUGUGUACCCGCGGCUAGACGGAAAGACCCCGUGAACCUUUACUACAGCUUUACAUUGAACUUUGACCUAACUUGUGUAGGAUAGGUGGGAGGCUUUGAAGUGGCGACGCCAGUUGCCAUGGAGCCAUCCUUGAAAUACCACCCUGGUUAUGUUGGGGUUCUAACUUAGAUGUAACAACAUCAAGGACAAUGUAUGGUGGGUAGUUUGACUGGGGCGGUCUCCUCCUAAAGAGUAACGGAGGAGUACGAAGGUGCGCUCAGAACGGUCGGAAAUCGUUCAAAGAGUAUAAAGGCAAAAGCGCGCUUAACUGCGAGACCCACAAGUCGAGCAGGUACGAAAGUAGGUCUUAGUGAUCCGGUGGUUCUGUAUGGAAGGGCCAUCGCUCAACGGAUAAAAGGUACUCUGGGGAUAACAGGCUGAUACCGCCCAAGAGUUCAUAUCGACGGCGGUGUUUGGCACCUCGAUGUCGGCUCAUCUCAUCCUGGGGCUGAAGCAGGUCCCAAGGGUAUGGCUGUUCGCCAUUUAAAGAGGUACGCGAGCUGGGUUUAGAACGUCGUGAGACAGUUCGGUCCCUAUCUACCGUGGGCGUUGGAAAUUUGAGAGGAUCUGCUCCUAGUACGAGAGGACCAGAGUGGACGAACCUCUGGUGUUCCGGUUGUUUCGCCAGAAGCAUCGCCGGGUAGCUACGUUCGGAUGGGAUAACCGCUGAAAGCAUCUAAGCGGGAAGCCCACCUCAAGAUAAGAUUUCCCUAAAGAGCCGUUGUAGACUACGACGUUGAUAGGUUGGGUGUGGAAGCAUGGUGACAUGUGUAGCUAACCAAUACUAAUUGCUCGUUUGGCUUGACCAU